rnacentral:rRNA from 1 species
CAGCAGCCGCGGUAAUCCGUAGGUCCCGAGCGUUGUCCGGAUUUAUUGGGCGUAAAGCGAGCGCAGGCGGUUAGAUAAGUCUGAAGUUAAAGGCUGUGGCUUAACCAUAGUACGCUUUGGAAACUGUUUAACUUGAGUGCAAGAGGGGAGAGUGGAAUUCCAUGCGUAGCGGUGAAAUGCGUAGAUAUAUGGAGGAACACCGGUGGCGAAAGCGGCUCUCUGGCUUGUAACUGACGCUGAGCCUCGAAAGCGUGGGGAGCAAACAGGAUUAGAUACCCGAGUAGUCCCUGUCUCUUAUACA